rnacentral:rRNA from 1 species
CGCUGGCGGCAUGCCUAACACAUUGCAAGUCGAACGAGACCUUCGGGUCUAGUGGCGCACGGGUGCGUAACGCGUGGGAAUCUGCCCCUUGGUUCGGAAUAACAGUUAGAAAUGACUGCUAAUACCGGAUGAUGACGAAAGUCCAAAGAUUUAUCGCCGAGGGAUGAGCCCGCGUAGGAUUAGCUAGUUGGUGAGGUUAAAAGGCUCACCAAGGCGACGAUCCUUAGCUGGUCUGAGAGGAUGAUCAGCCACACUGGGACUGAGACACGGCCCAGACUCCUACGGGAGGCAGCAGUGGGGAAUAUUGGACAAUGGGCGAAAGCCUGAUCCAGCAAUGCCGCGUGAGUGAUGAAGGCCUUAGGGUCGUAAAGCUCUUUACCAGGGAUGAUAAUGACAGUACCUGGAGAAUAAGCUCCGGCUAACUCCGUG